CAACAGCGGUUUGAAAAUCAGCAGACCAGCUGAUCAACGCCUAACAGCUAUACAAAUCCCCACAAGUGUGACUACAGCCUCAUUUCUGAAGCAUACAGCACUAACACCAGCUCAGAGGAAGUAUCUGUACAGCAUUGCAGCUUCCUAUAGCACUGAGCAUGUGCGGCGCCUCGUCACCCAGCACUACAUGAACGUGCAGUACAGGUGUAUACGAGCAGACUACAACGACAAAAGAGGCAUACUUUAUGAGGCUUCUGUGGCCUCACCUGAGAAUGACAGAGAGGAUCAUCUAUCAAAAACACAAUCGGAAGUUUCUUCAGGGUCAAAAAACAAGAGCAAGAUCAAUGCAAAACAUUCUAGAAAACCCUCCCAAAG